AAAUUGAAGAGUUUGAUCAUGGCUCAGAUUGAACGCUGGCGGCAGGCCUAACACAUGCAAGUCGAACGGUAACAGGAAGAAGCUUGCUUCUUUGCUGACGAGUGGCGGACGGGUGAGUAAUGUCUGGGAAACUGCCUGAUGGAGAGGGAUAACUACUGGAAACGGUAGCUAAUACCGCAUAACGUCGCAAGACCAAAGAGGGGGACCUUUGGGCCUCUUGCCAUCGGAUGUGCCCAGAUGGGAUUAGCUAGUAGGUGGGGUAACGGCUCACCUAGGCGACGAUCCCUAGCUGGUCUGAGAGGAUGACCAGCCACACUGGAACUGAGACACGGUCCAGACUCCUACGGGAGGCAGCAGUGGGGAAUAUUGCACAAUGGGCGCAAGCCUGAUGCAGCCAUGCCGCGUGUAUGAAGAAGGCCUUCGGGUUGUAAAGUACUUUCAGCGGGGAGGAAGGGAGUAAAGUUAAUACCUUUGCUCAUUGACGUUACCCGCAGAAGAAGCACCGGCUAACUCCGUGCCAGCAGCCGCGGUAAUACGGAGGGUGCAAGCGUUAAUCGGAAUUACUGGGCGUAAAGCGCACGCAGGCGGUUUGUUAAGUCAGAUGUGAAAUCCCCGGGCUCAACCUGGGAACUGCAUCUGAUACUGGCAAGCUUGAGUCUCGUAGAGGGGGGUAGAAUUCCAAGUGUAGCGGUGAAAUGCGUAGAGAUCUGGAGGAAUACCGGUGGCGAAGGCGGCCCCCUGGACGAAGACUGACGCUCAGGUGCGAAAGCGUGGGGAGCAAACAGGAUUAGAUACCCUGGUAGUCCACGCCGUAAACGAUGUCGACUUGGAGGUUGUGCCCUUGAGGCGUGGCUUCCGGAGCUAACGCGUUAAGUCGACCGCCUGGGGAGUACGGCCGCAAGGUUAAAACUCAAAUGAAUUGACGGGGGCCCGCACAAGCGGUGGAGCAUGUGGUUUAAUUCGAUGCAACGCGAAGAACCUUACCUGGUCUUGACAUCCACGGAAGUUUUCAGAGAUGAGAAUGUGCCUUCGGGAACCGUGAGACAGGUGCUGCAUGGCUGUCGUCAGCUCGUGUUGUGAAAUGUUGGGUUAAGUCCCGCAACGAGCGCAACCCUUAUCCUUUGUUGCCAGCGGUCCGGCCGGGAACUCAAAGGAGACUGCCAGUGAUAAACUGGAGGAAGGUGGGGAUGACGUCAAGUCAUCAUGGCCCUUACGACCAGGGCUACACACGUGCUACAAUGGCGCAUACAAAGAGAAGCGACCUCGCGAGAGCAAGCGGACCUCAUAAAGUGCGUCGUAGUCCGGAUUGGAGUCUGCAACUCGACUCCAUGAAGUCGGAAUCGCUAGUAAUCGUGGAUCAGAAUGCCACGGUGAAUACGUUCCCGGGCCUUGUACACACCGCCCGUCACACCAUGGGAGUGGGUUGCAAAAGAAGUAGGUAGCUUAACCUUCGGGAGGGCGCUUACCACUUUGUGAUUCAUGACUGGGGUGAAGUCGUAACAAGGUAACCGUAGGGGAACCUGCGGUUGGAUCACCUCCUUACCUUAAAGAA
rnacentral:rRNA from 1 species